GUUACCUUGUUACGACUUCACCCCAAUCAUCUACCCCACCUUAGGCAGCUCCCUCCUUGCGGUUAGGCCACUGACUUCGGGUGUUGUAAACUCUCGUGGUGUGACGGGCGGUGUGUACAAGACCCGGGAACGUAUUCACCGCGACAUUCUGAUUCGCGAUUACUAGCGAUUCCAACUUCAUGUAGGCGAGUUGCAGCCUACAAUCCGAACUGAGAUUGGCUUUAUGAGGUUUGCUCCACGUCACCGCUUCGCUUCUCUUUGUACCAACCAUUGUAGCACGUGUGUAGCCCAGGUCAUAAGGGGCAUGAUGAUUUGACGUCAUCCCCACCUUCCUCCAGUUUGUCACUGGCAGUCUCGUUAGAGUCCCCAUCUCACUGCUGGCAACUAACGACAGGGGUUGCGCUCGUUGCGGGACUUAACCCAACAUCUCACGACACGAGCUGACGACAACCAUGCACCACCUGUAUCCAUUGUCCCCGAAGGGAACCCUCUAUCUCUAGAGGCGUCAAUGGUAUGUCAAGACCUGGUAAGGUUCUUCGCGUUGCUU
rnacentral:rRNA from 1 species